AACGAACGCUGGCGGCAUGCCUAACACAUGCAAGUCGAACGAGACCUUCGGGUCUAGUGGCGCACGGGUGCGUAACGCGUGGGAACCUGCCCUUAGGUUCGGAAUAACUCCCCGAAAGGGGUGCUAAUACCGGAUAAUGUCUUCGGACCAAAGAUUCAUCGCCUUUGGAUGGGCCCGCGUUGGAUUAGCUAGUUGGUAGGGUAAAAGCCUACCAAGGCGACGAUCCAUAGCUGGUCUGAGAGGAUGAUCAGCCACACUGGGACUGAGACACGGCCCAGACUCCUACGGGAGGCAGCAGUGGGGAAUAUUGGACAAUGGGCGAAAGCCUGAUCCAGCAAUGCCGCGGGAGUGAUGAAGGCCUGAGGGUUGUAAAGCUCUUUUACCCGGGAUGAUAAUGACAGUACCGGGAGAAUAAGCACCGGCUAACUCCGUG
rnacentral:rRNA from 1 species